GAUGAACGCUGGCGGCGUGCCUAAUACAUGCAAGUCGAGCGAACAGACGAGGAGCUUGCUCCUCUGACGUUAGCGGCGGACGGGUGAGUAACACGUGGAUAACCUACCUAUAAGACUGGGAUAACUUCGGGAAACCGGAGCUAAUACCGGAUAAUAUAUUGAACCGCAUGGUUCAAUAGUGAAAGACGGUUUUGCUGUCACUUAUAGAUGGAUCCGCGCCGCAUUAGCUAGUUGGUAAGGUAACGGCUUACCAAGGCAACGAUGCGUAGCCGACCUGAGAGGGUGACCGGCCACACUGGAACUGAGACACGGUCCAGACUCCUACGGGAGGCAGCAGUAGGGAAUCUUCCGCAAUGGGCGAAAGCCUGACGGAGCAACGCCGCGUGAGUGAUGAAGGUCUUCGGAUCGUAAAACUCUGUUAUUAGGGAAGAACAAAUGUGUAAUUAACUAUGCGCGUCUUGACGUUACCUAAUCAGAAAGCCACGGCUAACUACGUG
rnacentral:rRNA from 1 species